UGGGGAAUUUUGGACAAUGGGCGAAAGCCUGAUCCAGCAAUGCCGCGUGUGUGAAGAAGGCCUUCGGGUUGUAAAGCACUUUUGUCCGGAAAGAAAUCCUUGGCUCUAAUACAGUCGGGGGAUGACGGUACCGGAAGAAUAAGCACCGGCUAACUACGUGCCAGCAGCCGCGGUAAUACGUAGGGUGCAAGCGUUAAUCGGAAUUACUGGGCGUAAAGCGUGCGCAGGCGGUUUGCUAAGACCGAUGUGAAAUCCCCGGGCUCAACCUGGGAACUGCAUUGGGUGACUGGCAGGCUAGAGUAUGGCAGGAGGGGGGUAGAAUUCCACGUGUAGCAGUGAAAUGCGUAGAGAUGUGGAGGAAUA
rnacentral:rRNA from 1 species